GCGAUGUGGAAGAUACAAGAACUGAGAAAGAUGUUUUGGCCCAUCUUCAGCCUCAUUGGGAUUUAGAAGAACUGGAAAUCAUUUGUUAUAGGGGCACCAUAUUUUCUGAUUGGUUGGGAAGUCCUUCUUACCACAAAAUGACUUCUUUGCGGCUAGAGAAUUGCACAAAUUGUUGCAUGCUUCCUUCCCUUGGGCAACUCCCUGCUCUGAAGAAAUUAUACAUUAUUAGAUUAGAAAGUGUAGUGAGCGUUGGUGAUGAGUUUUUGAAGGGUGAUAAUUGUGCUUCCAUGAUACCAUUUCCAUCCCUUGAAUAUCUUCACUUUUCAAGGAUGGCUUCUUGGGAACAAUGGCAUUCCAUUAACACCGAAGCUUUCCCUAAACUCCAGCUACUCACAGUAUCAUUUUGCAACAAAUUAGCUGGAAGUCUACCUCUCCAGCUGCUUUCUUUAGAAACUCUGGAGAUUAAAUUCUGUUCAUUGUUUUCUUCUUGUAUUCCAAAGUGUCCCAAACUUCAGAAUUUACAUGCAUUUAAAAGUGGAAAUAUGGUAUGGCAAGAGCAAGAAUUACCUCCUUUACUUUGCACUCUAGAUAUUUCAGGAUGUUGGAUGUUGGAAUCAAUGUUGGACUCAUUUGCUAAACGUUCGCAUCUGCAACAAUUAACUAUCAGUGAUUGCUCCAACAUAUCACCUUCUUCAAUGAUUCAUUUGCCCCCUUUAUUACAAGAAUUAAAUGUACAGUGGUGUAAAAAUGUUGACUUUGUGAUGAGUCCAACUGCUCCUCUUCAAAAUCUCCAGUCUAUUCAUAUUGGGGGUUGUGUUUUUCUGAAGUUUAUAUCAGAUGACAUGAAAAGUCUCCUCCCAAGUUUAAGAAAGCUAAGCAUAUGUGGUGUUGACAAGAUGGAAGAAUUUCCAGAAGGGAUUCUUGUGCCGAGUUUGAGAGAACUUCACAUUGAAUGGUGUAAUAUGGAGUUCAUAUUAUCCCAUCAAGCAGCAUGGCACCUCCUCAGUAAUAUCACUUACCUUCGUAUUUUUUUCCCACAUGAUAGCCAUGUCAAUUGUUUUCCAGAGGGGUGUUCUCUUCCUUCUACUCUUACCACUUUGGAACUCAAUUCCUUUGGUAACUUGGAGACAUUGAAUUGCACAGGACUUCAGCACCUAACCUCUUUGCAAUGUCUAAAUAUCAAAUCUUGUCCCAAGCUGGAGAAAAUGUUAGGAGAAAAGCUACCUGUUUCUUUAAAAAAGCUUCACAUUCAGGAUUGUUUGUUGCUUGAAGAAAAAUACCGCAACAAGGAUGAACAGCUUUUGCGUCAGAUAUCCCACAUCCCACUGAUCAAUUCAUCUGAGAUAUGAGAUGCAAUAUAAUCAUCCACGAGAGAUGUAGACCCCACGAAGCUUAUAUCAAUAGCUCUUCUAAGACCUUCUUCAAAAUGUUUUGUGGCUCAUACAAUAUUCAAUCAUGUAAUGAGAAAAUAUUUGCAAAUUGUAACCGUAAAGGGAGAAUCCAACAUGGUUUGCUUGUUCUAAUUUAUAAAGGAAAUACAGUGCUUCUUCUUCAGAAAGUAUAAUGCUCAAAUCAAGAUCCUUCAUAUAUUCCUAUUCUCUAGAGGUUUGAAGUGAACUAAAGCUUUUGAUUUCUUCUUUCUCUCUUAAUUGCUUGUUUCGUUAAUCUACCUUAUAACUUUGAUUGUGAUCAACUUAGCAAGUUACUUGAGGAUGAUGGAUUGCCAUUUCUGUUUUCCCCCCUCUCCCUUCCUUAUAUUGUCUCUUGACUUCCCUUUUGUAUGCUUAAAAUACAGCAUAUCAACAAGGACAGGAAGGAAAUUUGCAAACUUGAACCUGAACCGAGAAGAAACGCUCAUCAUUUUCUUGACAA